rnacentral:rRNA from 1 species
CGGAGGGUGCGAGCGUUGUCCGGAAUCACUGGGCGUAAAGGGCGCGUAGGCGGCCGAGCAAGGUCGCGGUGAAAGCCCGGGGCUCAACCCCGGGUCGGCCGUGGCAACUACUCGGCUCGAGCACUGUAGGGGCGGGUGGAAUUCCGGGUGUAGCGGUGGAAUGCGUAGAGAUCCGGAAGAACACCGGUGGCGAAGGCGGCCCGCUGGGCAGGAAGGCUCGCAAGAGCCGGCUGACGCUGAGGCGCGACAGCGUGGGGAGCAAACAGGAUUAGAUACCCUGGUAGUCCACGCCGUAAACGAUGGGCACUAGGUGCCUGGGGGAGCGACCCCCCGGGUGCCGGCGCUAACGCAUUAAGUGCCCCGCCUGGGGAGUACGGCCGCAAGGCUG